rnacentral:rRNA from 1 species
GACGAACGCUGGCGGCGUGCCUAAUACAUGCAAGUCGAACGCUGAAGGAGGAGCUUGCUCUUCUGGAUGAGUUGCGAACGGGUGAGUAACGCGUAGGUAACCUGCCUGGUAGCGGGGGAUAACUAUUGGAAACGAUAGCUAAUACCGCAUAACAGUAGAUGUUGCAUGACAUUUACUUAAAAGGUGCAAUUGCAUCACUACCAGAUGGACCUGCGUUGUAUUAGCUAGUUGGUGGGGUAACGGCUCACCAAGGCGACGAUACAUAGCCGACCUGAGAGGGUGAGCGGCCACACUGGGACUGAGACACGGCCCAGACUCCUACGGGAGGCAGCAGUAGGGAAUCUUCGGCAAUGGACGGAAGUCUGACCGAGCAACGCCGCGUGAGUGAAGAAGGGUGUCGGAUCGUAAAGCUCUGUUGUAAGAGAAGAACGAGUGUGAGAGUGGAAAGUUCACACUGUGACGGUAGCUGACCAGAAAGGGACGGCUAACUACGUG